AAUUGUGGAUUUAUGAUCAGAUUAUCUAUGAAUCUUAUUUGAGUUUCUUCUGAUCUCUUAUAUGCAUGAUUUCAUAUCCUUGUAAUUCUCUUUGACUUGUGGGUAUUUUUUGACCAACUUGAUCUAUGAUACUUGUAAUGGGAGAAGUGUUUGGCUUUGGGUUCAUACCGUGCGGUGACCUCACCCAGUGACAGAAGGGGUAGCGAGGCACGCAUCGUGUUGUUGCCAUCAAGGGUAAAAAGAUGGGUUUUAUAUGUAUUGCAUGAAUUUAUCCCUCUACAUCAUGUCAUUUUGCUUAAGGCGUUACUCUAUUUGUCAUGAACUCAAUACACUAGAUGCAUGUUGGAUAGCGGUCGAUGUGUGGAGUAAUAGUACUAGAUGCAGAAAGUAUCGGUCUACUUGUCUCGGACGUGAUGCCUAUAUGUAUGAUCAUUGCCUUAGAUAUCAUCAUGACUUUGCGCGGUUCUAUCAAUUUGUCGACAGUAAUUCGUUCACCCACCGUAAUAUUUGCUGUUUUGAGAGAAGCCUCUAGUGAACACUAUGGCCCCCGGG
rnacentral:lncRNA from 1 species